UAGGGAAUCUUCGGCAAUGGACGAAAGUCUGACCGAGCAACGCCGCGUGAGUGAAGAAGGUUUUCGGAUCGUAAAACUCUGUUGUUAGAGAAGAACAAGGACGUUAGUAACUGAACGUCCCCUGACGGUAUCUAACCAGAAAGCCACGGCUAACUACGUCCCAGCAGCCGCGGUAAUACGUAGGUGGCAAGCGUUGUCCGGAUUUAUUGGGCGUAAAGCGAGCGCAGGCGGUUUCUUAAGUCUGAUGUGAAAGCCCCCGGCUCAACCGGGGAGGGUCAUUGGAAACUGGGAGACUUGAGUGCAGAAGAGGAGAGUGGAAUUCCAUGUGUAGCGGUGAAAUGCGUAGAUAUAUGGAGGAACACCAGUGGCGAAGGCGGCUCUCUGGUCUGUAACUGACGCUGAGGCUCGAAAGCGUGGGGAGCAAACA
rnacentral:rRNA from 1 species